rnacentral:rRNA from 1 species
UACGUAGGGUGCGAGCGUUGUCCGGAAUUAUUGGGCGUAAAGAGCUUGUAGGCGGUUUGUCGCGUCUGCCGUGAAAGCCCAGGGCUUAACCCUGGGUCUGCGGUGGGUACGGGCAGACUAGAGUGCGGUAGGGGAGAUUGGAAUUCCUGGUGUAGCGGUGGAAUGCGCAGAUAUCAGGAGGAACACCGAUGGCGAAGGCAGAUCUCUGGGCAUUAACUGACGCUGAGGAGCGAAAGCAUGGGGAGCGAACAGG